rnacentral:rRNA from 1 species
CCUACGUGUGGCAGCAGUGGGGAAUAUUGCACAAUGGGGGAAACCCUGAUGCAGCAACGCCGCGUGGGUGAAGGAGCGUUUCGGCGCGUAAAGCCCUGCCAGCGGGGAAGAAGAAAGACGGUACCCGACCAAGAAGCCCCGGCUAACUACGUGCCAGCAGCCGCGGUAAUACGUAGGGGGCGACCGUUAUCCGGAAUUACUGGGUGGAAAGGGAGCGUAGACGGCGAGGUAAGCCUGAAGUGGAAGCCCGCGGCCCAACCGCGGAACUGCUUGGGAAACUGUUUUGCUGGAGGAUGGGAGGGGUAAGCGGAAGUCCUGGUGUAGCGGGGAAAUGCGUAGAUAUCAGGAGGAAAACCGGUGGCGAAGGAGGAUUACUGGACCAUAACUGACGUUGAGGCUCGAAAGCGUGGGGAGCGAACAGGAUUAGAUAACCCAGUAGUC